AAAAAGUACUCUUGGCGCAUACACGCGCAUUGUUGUAUACACGUCUUAAAUUAGUAUUGGAUAAAGACAAUGCACGAAUAGUUGCAGUAAGGGUAUACUUGCGUACUUAGAUUAGCAACGCAUUCGCCUGAUCCGCACACACCCUGACAGGCGUUGUACUGGGAUAUCAGUUCAAUGCAAGUUAAACAAUUAAUUCGGAUGACAAGACAUUGCAUACGAUUGAUUGCAAUAUGCUUCUAACUAGACGUGCGGUAAGAGGCAGAGUGGAGAGCUAUUCAGUUUUAUUAAGUUUUAUAAUUAAUUUGUAUAUAGUGCAGGCACCACCAGGUAUGGAGUGUUAUUUCCAUCUUCGGGAAAGUACUGCCGACUACUUAUCUAAUGGCUUGGACGAAUUGCACCUUCGCGACGGUCUAUCCGCAUUAUGAAUAAUGCAGACGUCACCAAGGACCUUCAACCGCUUCAGUAUCGAUAAAAUCCCUAAAGUUACCUCGCCAGUUCUGGUGAUCCACGGAACUGAGGAUGAGGUGAUAGACUUCUCCCACGGACUCGCCAUAUACGAGCGCUGUCCGCGUGCUGUGGAACCACUUUGGGUUGAGGGUGCUGGACAUAAUGAUGUCGAACUCUUCAAUCAGUAUCUCGACAGACUGAAACGUUUUGUAUCUGUAGAAUUGCUCAACUGACAAAGACUGCCGGCCACGGGCCAGACAAUUCAAGGUGACGACCAAAAUCCAGCUUCGACACUGAGCUCCGGCACUUCUAGUUCUGUGACAGAGAGACUCCUCUAGCUAGCGGGGGCCGGGCCCAGCCGGGCCGGCCCCAACAAAAAUAAUGCCAAUAAUGGCAACGGUAGUCCGCAGCGCGAUCUCGCCGCCGACGCCGACACCCCCGCGCCCGCCGCGCCCGCCGCGCCCGCACACAACAUCAGCAUCAACGUCACCGACACGGACUCGCCCGACGGCGCCCGUCGCCGCAUCCACCUGCGCUCGCUCAGCGACGUCACGCCCGCCAGCCGCGCCCACACCCCCCGCGCGCGCUCCCACUCCGAGCGGCCGCGCGC